GACGAACGCUGGCGGCGUGCCUAAUACAUGCAAGUCGAGCGGACUUGACAGAGCUUGCUCUGUUCAAGUUAGCGGCGGACGGGUGAGUAACACGUGGGCAACCUGCCCUGCAGAUUGGGAUAACUCCGGGAAACCGGGGCUAAUACCGAAUAACAUUUAAAACCUCCUGGUUUUCUUUUAAAAGGCGGCUUCGGCUGUCACUGCAGGAUGGGCCAGCGGCGCAUUAGCUAGUUGGUGAGGUAACGGCUCACCAAGGCAACGAUGCGUAGCCGACCUGAGAGGGUGAUCGGCCACACUGGGACUGAGACACGGCCCAGACUCCUACGGGAGGCAGCAGUAGGGAAUCUUCCGCAAUGGACGAAAGUCUGACGGAGCAACGCCGCGUGAGUGAAGAAGGUUUUCGGAUCGUAAAACUCUGUUGUUAGGGAAGAACAAGUAUCGGAGUAACUGCCGGUACCUUGACGGUACCUGACCAGAAAGCCACGGCUAACUACGUGCCAGCAGCCGCAGUAACAC
rnacentral:rRNA from 1 species